AGCUCCAAUAGCGUAUAUUAAAAUUGUUGCGGUUAAAACGCUCGUAGUUGAAUAUCUGCUUAGUACCCCCGGUCCACCCGAGUGGUGUGUACUCGGUCUGUGCUUAGCAUUUUUCUGGGGAACGCGUUCGCACUUCAUUGUGUGGCGCUUUGAUCUGGUACUUUUACUUUGAGGAAAUGAGAGUGUUUCAAGCAGGCAGUUUGUUUUGAAUACGUUAGCAUGGAAUAAUAACGUGGGACUUCGUUCUAGAGUUGUUGGUUUUUGGAGCGAUG
rnacentral:rRNA from 1 species